UUAAAACAUCAGUUCUCAUAUGAUCACCAAAGUUAAGCACUGUCAUACCUGGUCAGUACCACGAUUGGUGACCUCUUGGGAAUACCAGAUGCUGUAAG